rnacentral:lncRNA from 1 species
UUUUAUUCUAGAGAAGCAACCUCAGAUUAGAACAAACUGCCAAUAUUCAUCACUUCAUUUGGCGUACUCAGUAAACCAAUCCAGCAUAUUUUUAUGGGCAUCUUCAGCAGAUUUUGAUUGUCUUCUCCUCAUCUGUGUUUGUACCGGGCAAGCCCGGGAAAUACCUUGACAAAGCCAUUUACCUGUUGAUUGCAGAAUUUAGCUUCUACAAUUCUCGUUGCCCAUCAAUUACAUCAGGAUUUUCAGUUAGAGGUAAACAUUGUUGUCUGUUGUGAAAAGCACUGGCAAAAAGGUAGACUUACGAAGUUAAUGAAAUGUCUUACCUCAGGCUUGGUGGAUAGAACUUCUUCAAACUGUUUGAGGAGUUCAGGGGAAGCCAAAUGGUCAAUUUCAGCUCCCCAGUGUAGCAACUGGUUUCUUGAUCUCUGAAAAAGAGAAGUCCAUAGUAAUGUAAAUCAAAAUGAUCAUUGAUUUUGUAGAGCUGCAUAGAGGUGUCAAUAGGAAACUCUGCUGACAUAGCCACAUGAUAGUUAAAAGCAACAACUGAAGUAUGCAUCUGGUCAGCAUGCAUAAUCAAUUUUUCCUUUACCAAGUUGGCCUUAGGCAAUAUUGUUAUUUUGCCACAUUUGAAACUAUGAAUGAUGGUGAAUAGUUUCUUUUCA